CAGUGGCCAUCUUGGACUCAUGAGCUGUUGGGCGGUGGCAGCUGCUGGUCUUUUCUGGGACAGAGCCUGGCAGCCUCUCCUCUGUGGCCCAGUCUUCCUUUCCCAGACUACAUGCCAGUGCUGAGGACCUCUGGGCUCUCUCCACUUGUACUCCAUCAGUCUUCAUCAGUUGAGGAUAUUCUUUUUUAGCUGCCAAUCCUCCUCCACAAUCAGAGUGAUCUUCCUGCCUGGGUUUUCAUCACCCCAUGCCCCUGCUCAGCAGCUGCCUGCUCCCACAGGAACUCAGCCCUGCCAAUGUCUGCUGAAGAUGCUCCUAACCACUUGUCAAGGACCGUGCCACGUAUCAGAGGGUUAUUGUCAUUGUUAUUGUCACAGUGCAAAACCAAUCUGAAUGAAGAGAGAACCAAGUACCUGCUUCUGCCCUUAACAAACAUAUAUGCCUUAAAGACAGAAGCUAAGUUGUGAACAUGGAUAAAAGUGUUUUUUUUUAUGAGGACUGUAUUUAUGGUGACUGUACUUAAUGAUGUUUGAUUGUAUAUUGUACAUUGUAUUGUCUAUUUGAAUGCUUCUGUGACAGCUGAUCUUAAAUUUAUUAUCGAAAGCAAACAUGUAACCAUGGGGAGAGAGACUGAAUAACAAACUCCAACCACCACUACCUGUUUACCACUUUGCUGUUUUUAAGUUAAAAGAGGGACUAGAAGACAGCAGCAGAUGCCCCACUACACUUAUCUCAGCUAAGGACUGAAACUGGAGGCUCGCCCAGCACUUUCUCCAACAGCUCCAACCAGAUGACAGUGGCAAACAUAGUGGACACCAAACAACCCUGAAGUCUGAGUCUUGGACAUGGAAGUGGCCCGGUCCCCUGCACUGAGCAGGCUGACUGCAUCUGGCUAUGACACGCAGUAGUCUCAGCAGUAACAAUGACCAGACCUUCCUUUUAUUCAGUUUCCACCUGAGUUCCUAAAUAGAGUACGGUUGUCUGCAAGUGGCUAAAGGCAUGGAUAAGGGAAAGCACAUUCCAUGAACUUUAAGGAAUGACUAGGGGCUGUAAAAGGCAGAGGACUACCCCCACCAGAGUUUUCCCACCCCCAUAAGAUGCUUUUGUCAGUCAGGCAGGUAACUGUGGUGUUGGCCCAGGGGUACCCAGGUCCUCUGGCCUCCUGCCCUGCCCAUCUCCCCAGAGGACAGGAAGUGAAGCUUCAGCUAGUGCAUCCCUGGUGUAGUUCCUGGUGUGGAAGAUGAGCUGGUUAACACCCCACAGAUACUGGGGAGAACCUCCACCCCUUGAGCACUUCCUCUGUUUUACUCUAGUCUGGUCAGAACUGGGCAGCUGGACCAGAAAGGAAGUGGGGGCUGGGUAAUGAAGUGCUCCUGGUGGUCUCUGCAGGAGCCCUGCCCUGGAACACAGGACAGUUGUCCCCAUGGGUUAAAGUGGGCAGAUGGGUGACACCUGCCCUAACAGGAAACAAAAGCCAAAUAUCCAUGUCCACCGGGUGCCCUGAAGGUCAUUCAGGAUUCCAGGGAGUCCACCCUUGACCCGCACCCUGUGCCAGGGUUGACGGGGCUCCUCUCAGCCCAGGAAGCAUUUUAAGUGAUAGUCUACCUGUUUGGGGCUCAUCUAUCCUGAGGGGGCAACAAGCGGCAACUCUGGUACCAGGGAGUGAGGCAAACUUGUGGAAAAGAGAGGGGAAGUUUUUGCUGACACCAUCCCCACUGUCCCCUGUCCCCAGUGGGGCCCAUUAGGACGAUGAGCAUGUCCCUUGGUCAGCAGGAUUUGCACACUGUGCUCCUCGUGCCCCAGAGCUCAGGGCCCUCCAGGGACUGCUGUGCUGCUUGCCAUGGCAGGGAUGAUGGGCUUGCAUUCAAGUGCAUCUCUCUCCUAAUUUGUUCCAUGGGAAGGAAUUCCAGGAGUCCUGGCUGCUUCCUGCCAGAGCCCUCCCCACUCCCACAGUGCUUCCCCAGCUGAGGAGUCCCCCCUCCAAGUGCUGCUCUCUGUGCAUCCUCUCUGUCCUGUUUCCCCUUCUGGCUCUGCAACUUACCCUGUGAUGCACUUUCCUGGUUCCUGACUUUGCCGCCUGCCCAUCCUUGAGUUAGGACGUCAAUAUAAAGACAAGCAAAAAAAUAAGAUACAUACAUACAUGCUAACUCUUUCCCAGCAGGGAGAACCAGUAUCUACUGACCUGCUCCAGCUGCUGGACAUUGAGUAGGAACCCGCUACUGAGCUCCUCCCCUCACAGAACUCCCAGUCUUCCUGGUUCAUUCUCGACUUUCGCAAAGCUUUGUUCUAGGUUACAGACCCACUUAUCAAGUCACUUAGUUUGGUUUCCAAUCAAGAGUAGCUGGUAAUUGAA